CCCUGCCAUUUGUACACACCGCCCGUCGCACCUACCGAUUGAAUGGUCCGGUGAAGUCUCUGGACCGGCUUCUACCUUGUGUAGGAGCUGGGAAGUUGACUAAACCUUACCAUUUAGAGGAAGGUGAAGUCGUAACAAGGUUUCCGUAGGUGA
rnacentral:rRNA from 1 species